UGCGGGCCACCUGGCCCGCGGGCGUGGGCCAGCCUGACGCACAUCUUCCUGGAGUGUCCAGCUUAUGCGCAGGCGAGGACGUGGCUGCAGCAGCUGUGGGCCUGCGUUGCGCCCCAGGCAGCGGCGCCGCCAGUGACGGACGCGGGCUUCAUGCUGGGGGACCGCAUGGGUAUGUGGGCCUCAGGCCCGCGGGGGGCGGGCGCGCUGCUGUGGAGCACUUUGCGGGCCACCUUCUUGUACGCUGUCUGGUGUGCGUACUGGUCCCGCGAGCCUGCUAAGCAGACGUCGGAGCAUGUGGUUCGGGAGGUGGUCAGCUAGGUCAGCGAGCUGCGCAGGGUGAUGCAGCUGCGUUUCACUGCCGCCACGCUAACCCCUGAAACCCUGUCGGCUCUGCCCACUCAGCUUCUCACCGCACAGCUCAAGGCGGCUAAGCUGGAGCACUUUGUUGCCAUCUGGUCGGCGGGUGGCGCGCUUUGUGAAGUGGAGGAGGUUCAGGGUGGGUCACCGAAGUUGAACUUGCGGCUGACGCUUGCAUCACCUGUGCAGGCCCCCUAGGUUUCCUUCUGGGCAGCGUUUCUUUCCAGGCACUGGCGUGGCGUAUUAUCGUCAUCAGCUUGUCUGGCGCCCAUGAGUACUAGCUCUGGAAAAUAAUAAUAAUAUCUACGCAGGGCACAGGUGCCCGCGUGUCUUAAGGAGGAGUGAGACAAGCUCACCCCACCAUCGGAAAACUUGAUUUCCCUACCCC
rnacentral:lncRNA from 1 species